CCUACGGGUGGCAGCAGUGAGGAAUAUUGGUCAAUGGCCGGAAGGCUGAACCAGCCAUGCCGCGUGAAGGGCAGGGACCUAUGGGCGUUAAACGUCUUGUGUGCGGGAGCAAGAAUGGUCAGGUGUGGCGAGACGAGAGUACCGUACGAAUAAGCAGCGGCUAACUCCGUGCCAGCAGCCGCGGUAAUACGGGGGAUGCAAGCGUUAGCCGGAUUUAGUGGGUUUAAAGGGGGCGUAGGCUGUGAGGUAAGUCAGCGGUGAAAUGCCCCCGCUCAACGGGGUGAAGUGCCAUUGAUACUGCCUUGCUGGACUGCGGAUGCCGUGGGAGGAAUGUGUGGUGUAGCGGU
rnacentral:rRNA from 1 species